rnacentral:tRNA from 1 species
GGGUCCCUAGCCCAACGGCAGAGGCAGCAGGCUCAAACCCUGCACAGUCCCGGUUCAAAUCCGGGGAGACCCAC